rnacentral:lncRNA from 10 species
UGAUGAUUCACUAAAAAGACUCACAGAACUUAGUGAAAGCUAAUGUCACACCUACUGUAGAGGAGUGAAAGUACAAAUUGUUUCUCACAAGGAAUGAGUGCCACUCUUCAGUUUUUAAGCAGAGAAGGAACAUGCUGGAUCUGUAUUUUGGACAGAUGUAAUGGUGAAGUUGAGAUGAUGAUCAGAGUCUUACUUCAGACAAAUCAUGAGUCUCAGAGGAAGUGAUGACAGAGAUGUCUGUGGAAACUAUUGAAGAGGAAGGCUUUGCUAAAUCUUCAUGGAGACUGUAUUCUUUGAAAGGAAGACACUUGUAUGCAACUCACACUAAGGAGUGGGGAGUUGUACUCACUCUCCUUGAGGCUGGAGUGUUUACGUGAAUUAUUUGGAUUAUUCUGCAUGUG